rnacentral:rRNA from 1 species
UACGGAGGGUGCAAGCGUUAAUCGGAAUUACUGGGCGUAAAGGGCGCGUAGGUGGUAUCUUAAGUUGGGUGUGAAAUCCCCGGGCUCAACCUGGGAAUUGCAUCCAAAACUGGGGUACUAGAGUGUGGUAGAGGGUAGCGGAAUUUCUGGUGUAGCGGUGAAAUGCGUAGAUAUCAGAAGGAACAUCAAUGGCGAAGGCAGCUACCUGGGCCAACACUGACGCUGAGGCGCGAAAGCGUGGGGAGCAAAC